CUGACAUCUCCGGCGUCCAAUCACCUCCCAGAGAUCCUGUUCUCUAAUUUGCAUAGCAGGUAACACUGACCAAUAAAAGGUGCGGUGAGGUGAGAGUUGGAUGGAGAUCUCCACUUCAGCUCCUGCUUGCACCUUCAGGUUUCCCUCUAGUCAUUUCGAGACUGGUCUGCUGCAACUCUCUCCGAGCCGGUCUACCUCUGAAGAUCUCCACCACCACCCCACUGAUGCACUCCCUCCACCAUCAUUUUCAAAACACAAGGCUCUGAUUUCUCCAUCAGAUCUUCUAGUACUGGUCGACUGGUAGUUUAAUAGGUAGUAGACUGUUUAGGAGUACGUCUUGAUUUCUGUAUCGAAGUGUGUCCAUCAAUAGUCCUCUGGAUUUGGAGCAAAGCAUUUACAAGGUCUUAUCAGAGUCCAAAUGUGCAGAAAGUCGGUGAUUUUGCUUUCUAAU